AAUAAAGUAAGCUAAAAAAGCUUUUAGGCUCAUGUCCUAAAUAUGGAAAUUAAACCUUCCCUUUAUUU
rnacentral:tRNA from 1 species